AUAUUCAGCCAAAUUACUCUGGAGGCCCUAGAUUCCAUCUGAUUUUGGAAGCCAAGCAGGUUCAUACCUGACUAGUACUUGUAUGUGGGGGCAACUGAGGAAUACUAGGUGCUGCAGAUA
rnacentral:rRNA from 1 species